AAGCGGUGGAGCAUGUGGUUAAUUCGACGCAACGCGAAGAACUUACCAGGGCUUGACAUCCCCUGACCGCGUAUGAAAGUACGUUUUCACCUCGGGUGACAGGGAGACAGGUGGUGCAUGGUUGUCGUCAGCUCGUGUCGUGAGAUGUUGGGUUAAGUCCCGCAACGAGCGCAACCCCUACGUUUAGUUGCUAACGCGUGAAGGCGAGCACUCUAGACGAACUGCCGUUGACAAAACGGAGGAAGGUGGGAUGACGUCAAAUCAUCAUGCCCCUUAUGUUCUGGGCUACACACGUGCUACAAUGGCCGGUACAGACGGACGCAAAGCCGCGAGGUGGAGCAAAUCCUAAAAAGCCGGUCUCAGUUCGGAUUGCAGGCUGCAAUUCGCCUGCAUGAAGUCGGAAUCGCUAGUAAUCGCAGGUCAGCAUACUGCGGUGAAUACGUUCCCGGGCCUU
rnacentral:rRNA from 1 species